rnacentral:misc_RNA from 1 species
AAGUCGUAACAAGGUCUCCGUAGGUGAACCUGCGGAGGGAUCAUUAACACGUUUUUACAAACGUUAUCCAACACAUUCAUUUAUUGAAAUUCUGUGAACGAGUGAAAGAUGACAAAAAAAAAAUGGAAAUCUUUUUUUCAUUUUUUUAUGACGUUUUUCUCUUUUCUUUACAAAUUUUUAACCCCUUUCACACUUUUUAAUUGUAAUGACUACGAUUAAAAAAAUUGAAUUUUUAUUCUAUUUUUUUAUUCGUGUGUUACAAUGCGAGUUGACAGUGAAAAUCUUAAUUGAUUUUCGUUAUUCCGUAUGAUUUCGUUUUUUUUUCAUUAAAAAUUCGAAUGACUUACGACAAGUUUAUCUAAACUAAAAGCACAACUCUUAGCAACGGAUAUCUUGGUUCUC